CUGAGCAGCCAUGCCGCGUGCAGUGAGAAUGCCCUAUGGGUGGUAAAGCUGUUUUUAUACAGGGAAGAAAAAAUGUGUGACUCAGUACACUGUUGACCGUACUGUAACAAUAACAGAACGGCUAAGUCCAUGCCAGCACCCGCGGUAAUACGGAGGAUCCGAGCGUUAUCCUGAAUCAUUGGGUUUAAAGGGUCCGUAGGCGGGAUGAUAAGUCAAUGGUGAAAGUCUGCACCUGAACUGUAGAAUUGCCCUUGAUACUGAUGUUCUUGAAUGCUUGUGAAGAGGUUAAAAUGAGUAUUGUAGCGGUGAAAUGCAAAGAUCUUACUCAGAAUACCGAUUGCGAAGGCAGAUCACUAACAAUACACUGACGCUGAUGGACGAACGCGAAAGUGUGGAACACGAUUAGAUACACUGGUAGUGCUACGCCGUCCACGAAGGUUACUAGCUGUUCGGACUAAUUGCGGUCUGAGUGGCUAAGCGAAAGAGAUAAGUAACCCACCUGGGGAG
rnacentral:rRNA from 1 species